UACGUAGGUGGCAAGCGUUGUCCGGAAUUAUUGGGCGUAAAGCGCGCGCAGGCGGUCCUUUAAGUCUGAUGUGAAAGCCCUCGGCUCAACCGAGGAGGGUCAUUGGAAACUGGAGGACUUGAGUGCAGAAGAGGAAAGUGGAAUUCCAAGUGUAGCGGUGAAAUGCGUAGAAAUUUGGAGGAACACCAGUGGCGAAGGCGACUUUCUGGUCUGUAACUGACGCUGAGGCGCGAAAGCGUGGGGAGCAAACAGG
rnacentral:rRNA from 1 species